rnacentral:tRNA from 1 species
UCUCUGAAGGUUCAGUGGUUAGGACCCUGGGCUUCCACUGCAGGGGGCACAGGUUCGAUUUCUGGUCAGGGAA